CGGCAAUCAUGGCCUCAUCAGGUACCCCAUUUUCUUACUCUUCUUCAUAUUAUGCUUAUAUUUUUACUGUUUUUUUGCCUGUUUUUAAUACUCCUUGUUAUGUCUUUUUUAGACUCUGAAAUAAGCGUGCUCACCUCUUCUCCCACUGAUUCUCUCGAUCAAAUCGACAUCUCGGAUUUGGAUAAGUAUCUGUUCCCGAGGGCCCCGAGUUCUUCUUCACCAGCGCUCCAGCCCAUCACGCCCCCAUAGCAGCGAUCCUCGGGGAAAAAUAUCCCUCUGUCCGACAGGGAAUGGCAAGAUCUGUUCUCAGUGCUAGGUCGUCCUGCUUCUUCCGGCCACAGCUCCAUCCCCACCUGCGCUUCUUCUCUCCCGCGACCCUCGGGGAAAAAUAUUCGUCUGUCCGCCCGGGAGAGGCAAGAUUUGCUUUCCGCGGUCGGUCCUCGCGCUCCUGGCUCCCAGAGCACCAUCCUGACCAGUGCUUCUUCUCCCCCAUCAGGCAGAUGAAAUUCACAGUGCCUGCUUUUGCGAGCCAAACACGGUCUACUUAAGCAUCUCACGAGGAACAGGACGACCGGUAGGACCAGAAGGAUAAGGAGCACAAGGACAAGGCGCAGACGGCAUCAGCUCGCUUCUAUCGCUCUUCGAGCAGUAUGUCUCGU